UUUUUCCCAUAAAAAAAUAAUUUUAUUUUGUAUAAAGCUAAGUAAUCAUAGAAACAUUUCAAAUAAUAUUAUUCUUUCAGUUUCAGACACUUGGUAGUAGGCACAUCACAAGCCACAACAACAUAUACAGCUGCGAAAAUUUUGUUCUUUAACUUGCAUUUCCUUGAAGAUACUGAAAGCCAUUCCAUUACUUCUGUACAGCUUAGAUUUAACCCUUACUAUGUUUCAAAGAUCCUGUAUGAAUUAAAGAGAUCGUGCCACAAAUCCUUUGGCUAAUUCCCCAUGGAUCGCAUACCCAAAGGAUGAACUUUGUGGUAACCAAUGGAUGUACUUGUCCACUUUUCUCUUCAUGCAUUUACUUACAGUUUUCUGUUGUGCUUUUGUAAGACUCCCACUUAUUGCCUUCAAUAGCCCAUACAUAUCCAUUGACAUAUCCUUUGCAUAGAAAGAAAGGAUUUUUGGUAGGAAAAUCUUUGCCUCCUUAUGAAUGUAGACACUAGCUUGAACGAAUUCUUCUUUUGCAAGCUUCAAAUCCUGAAAGAUAUUCUUUGCUGUGUAAACUCGAACCACAGGGUCAGAGUAUGCCCCUGAACAAAGUGCAAAAUGAACAAGUGGUUCUGGGUAUUCCAAGGCAUAGACAUGACUAGUGCUCCCUGUCUUAGAUUUCCUUCCUGGAGAAAACAGUGUUUGUAGCCACUGCAUUCAUGGUGGGUUAAAAGAGGCUGUAAGAAAAUCAAAGUAUUUGGGAAGAAGAAGAAGAAGAAGAACAGUAUGUCUUGCUAUACAUAAAAUAUGCAUGAAUAGAUAUUUAGUUCAUAAACUCCACUUUCAUGAUGUCUUGAACGAAAUGACCAGGUGUUUUUAAUCAACAUCAUAAUUCAUAUCAAUCAAAUUUCCUUAAUCCUCAGCAGAAAAAUGUAAGGCACCAGUUGAUUGCCGAGAGCAGACAGCUAAAUACAUCCUUCUUUUAGCACUUCAAUCUUGAUUUAUGAUGCAGCACUUCUUAAGGGUAACCUCUUUCAAAAGAAUUGCAAACCUAAGUGGUAACUCGUACAAACGGAAGCACUCACUAUUAUUUCAGCAUGUAUACAACCACUUACUAUUAUUGCUGUUUCAAAUUUAAAGACAAAUCAUUAAUCCUAAAAUACCAAUAGGAUUGGUCAAAAAACUACAGCCUUGCCAGCAUCUUGUCUGCUAGAUGUUGCAUAAGUAAUUUAUGAUUUCUUUGUUUUCUGGUCCCCCAUCUUCUAUAGAAUUCUCAGAGUGAGAAUGGAACAAAAAGGAUAGAAAUAUAAAACUAUUCAUCCACAACAAAGGCACACACACCUUAAUUGUGAUUACGAGAAUCCACGGAUAAUGAUUAUACAAGUGAUAUUGAGAUAUUAAAUGACAAGGCAUACCGGUUCUGAGUAGUGUGACAGAAUUCCAAGAAUGGAGUUUUGUAUCACACAGGCAUUUACACAAUGUCCGCCAAUGUUAUAUGAUGCCUGAAAUAUGAGAAUUACAGUGAUAUAAAAAUUGAACAAGAUUUCAUUACAAACAAUUGAGAUAUAUAAGAUAUGUUCUUCACCUUCAAAAUGGAAGCACCUUUUACCCGAUUAUGAGUUCCAUAUGCUAAAUAAGCCUGCCAAGAAAAUCUCAUAAGAACAAUUAACAUGCAUUUAUAUAAAUGGUAAUUUCAAUGUGAAGCAACCAUGGAGAAUAAAUAAACGCUCAUAGAUCAUAUGGUAAAAGCAAGUGAAUCAACAAUCCAUGUUACUGAAAGUUUUUCCUUGAGAAUUAUUAAGCCAAAUUGCCUGAAGUUCUGUUAGUCUUAUAGUUCUCCUGUUAUUGCAUAGAAUUCAAAUUGUGCAAGAGAAAAGUUUAAACAAUGUGGAAGUGCUGGCGAUGACAUAAAUCUUAUAUAAGAAAUUUCCCAGAAAAUAGGUUUGCUGUUGUAUGAACAGUUUCCAUGGCUCUCAACUUUUGGCUAUAAGGUCAUUAUUGUGAGCUCAAGUUAAAGAAGCUUCAAAUUUCUGUAAACAUACAUGCAUGACCAAUGCAUUAUGAAUGUUAAUCCAGAAAACAAGCUUCUCUUCACGCUUCAUCUUCCUUGGAUCCACCUUCUCAAGACUUCGAACCAAUGACCUACACGGCUAUAAAACAAAUGAGAAAUUAUGGAAAACCAAAAAAAUUUUAUUUUUAUGAAAGAAAUCAGCACUCUAGCAAUUUCUUUCCUCCCCUUUCUGGCUAAUGAUAAGGACUGGACACCCCAACUCAAAUGGAUGCCAUUUGUUCCUUAACUGUAUAUUCCUAGGACAUAAAUACCUCUUCUUGACGUUGGAAGGAUCAGGCUAGAACACAGAAUUUUAUGCUACCAUAAAAUCAUUGCAGUUAAAAUAUGAUAGCUAGGUUGAACCACCUGAAAUUUUUUAGCAUUAGAGCAGCAUAAUUGGAACUAUCAUCAUUGAAACAUAUCUUCAUAACUUCCACUAUUCCAGAAUAUGGACCACCGUCUUCUUUCAACCCUUGACGAUGCACAAUAGCAUCCUCACUGUGUUGUGGACUCGAAUUAUCAGAAGGAUUGUGGGAAGAAAACAUACUUGAGGAUGACAAAGAUGAAGGAGGAGAAGAUGACAAACCCCCAUGGCUAUGAGAGGGGUUAGCAAGUCUGCAGUAAAUAGAGGACAUGCAUUUCAUUAUGUCUUCAGAGAGUCUAUCUGGGAUAUUAAGGCUAUUUACUAAGCAAGAAGCACCAAGAUGAUCUGCAAGGCUGCAACGACCAGAAUUAGCAUUCCUCUGGUCCUGCAAAUGCAUCAUAGAGAUUGGAUGAUCACAUCUUACGUUAUGGACAUAAAAAAAAAGCUAACAGCUUAUUACCACGAUUGGCAAUUACUUAAAGAGAAGUAAGCAUGAAAAAGUAACGCAGUUGUAUUUCAGAAAGCUAGGUGGUUAUGCAUUCUUACCCUUGAUGUUGUAUGUACGCUACUGGUGCAACUCUGAUCAUCUGAACUAGCCCAGCCAUGUGCAGGGGAAGUUUGAUCAUGAUAAAUUAAAUUGCUAUUCUCUAUAUGUGGUCUUAAAUUAAAAUGUGACUGAUUUACAGGAACUUUUGAUAGUGAUCCAUUCUUGUAUUGCAUAUGGUUUUUAGGGACAUUUAAUGUGGCAGGCAGGUGCUCUUCAAAAGCUGUCCUGUAAAGUGACAGAAGAUAUCGCUCCAAAUGCAAUAUUUCAGCCUCAAGUGUGGCAAUCUCCUUCCUCAAUGCAUCAGAAGACUACAUUAGAUAGCCAAGAGGUCAAACAUUAUACUGAAAAAACUGAAUUAAAGGGAGGAAAUGUGAGGGGAAGAAACAUGGUUAAUCCAAAUGCUACAUUUAACAUGAGUAAUAAAAAUGGUAGCAAAUCAUUUCAGUUUUUUUCCCGUUCAAUGGUAGAUCUUUGUCCGGUUUAUCUGAUGACAUAUUAUGCAUAUAGAGCUCCUUUAUAUAUUUAGAUUGCCCGAUGUGACAGAUGCAUAUCAAGUUGUAUAAAUCAUCAGUGAUCAUUUAUUCAUCUAAAUUGUCAACACAGUAGUGUAUAUCAUCAAACCUUCAGAGUCGGAGUGCCGUUACUCGGAAUAGAUACACAGGGGGUAAAACCCUCUGAGUUCUCAGAGUUCCAAUUAAGGGAAGCCUCAGAAGAAAGCAUGUUCCCUGACUUUACAAUAGAAUUUCGAUAAGAAGAUAGCUUAGGAGACAUAUUUAGAACAUUAUUGCGCAUUUCAUUGUCUGGAACACUUGAGGAACUCAUGUGUGGAUAAAGAGGACAAGAUGAAUAGGGAGACCGGCAAUUAGCUCCAGGCAUUUUCUCUUCCUGUUUUGUCACAUGAAAUCUCCUAAGAAUAGUUCAUUUAGCAGAAAGAAAUAGGCAAGAGACAGAGAAGUUAAAGAGUACAGGAUGAGCCCACAUCUAAUCUGAACUCUAAAAGUAUAAAAGAAAAACCAAAUAUGGUAUUAGAUACGUAAAGCUAUUAAACUUCAACCUCUCCAACCAAAGUUAAAAGAAAUGAAAAAGUAAAGAGAGCAUGGAAAAGCUGUAUCACCAUCAUCAUAAAUCUGUUUGGAAGGGGGAUGAAUAAGUGGUGAACAACAACUCAAGAAGCCGACAUUUGGCAGUAAAAUCAGAGAGUACGAAAACAACGGGCCAAAUACCAUACUACUUGUACAACUACAAAUACACUUAAGGAUGCAAGAAAAACAAAUACUCUAUCAACAAAGAAUUCAUACUGUUAAUCUAAAUAAUAAUAACAGGUUAAAUUAAGGAACAGAGAGAGAAAUGACCCACACUGAGACUGGGGUAGGUGAAUUUUUAUUUGCUGGGAAAGGGACAAUAUCCUUGAGAGAGUGGGGACAAUCCACCAACAAGGGUAGAAUUGGACAUUAAAUACAGCAAUUAUGAGAGUCACUGAGCUGAUGAGUGAUGACAGUGGGAGAGCAAAAACCAGUGCUAAUCUCUUCUAGAAAAUAAAUAAUAAUGUUGAGCAAUGAAAAACUAUAAAGAGGAAUAAGAGAAAUCAUAUCAUUAGAUUAGGUGGG
rnacentral:misc_RNA from 1 species